CUCAUCUUCCCCGCCGACUCAGAAAAAACUCACCUUCUCGUCUCACUUGCGCUGCCUCCUCCUCUUUCACCACCAUUUGGACAUUUCGUUUUUCAGAGGCAGAUAGUAAAAGAACAGGCCUUUGUGACACAGCUAGCUUAUCCACAUUAGAGUACAUUGGGUGGGCAAUGGCAAGGCAAAGAUGCUUCCUUUUUGCACUCUAAUGAGCAUGGAAACAGAGAAGUUGGUAGGAAUUGGGACACUAGUGGUCUUGAAGGCUCAGCUCUCAAUAUGGUUGAAGGUGACCGCAGCUCUAGGAACUGGCGGAAAAAGGUAAAUAAUUAGGGAAAGAGUGGAGCUCUCGCCGUAGCUCAGUCCAGGAAACUCGAGGUAUGUAUUUGCAUUGAUUAGUGAUUAGGAACCCUUAAAUAAGAACUAGCAUUGGAGCACAAACUCUAGGUGUCUCUUAACAAAAGUUCUUAUCAACAUUUAAUUACUAAAAUAAUCACUAAGAGACUCUGAUGAGUUUGUGGGUUAAAUCAUGAUGCUCUAAAUGCAGGGACCAUGGUUAAAUUAAGCGUAUUACACAUAUUUUGAGGGAUAUAUUCUCGAUUUGCGAUUUCUACUAUACAUUUAUUGUUAAGACGAAUUUUUUAAUCUUUCCUGAACUUGAAAAAGCAGAUGAAUAUGGGUUUGACCAAAAAAAGGGUUUGAGUUUAAUACUACCUAUUAUUAUUUAUUACUAGUACUAUACUAAAUAGAUUAAUUAACAUCAAUCUCGAUUUGAUACAGCUGAAUCUUUUGCAAGGGCUAAGUAGUUAGCGUAAGACAGCUGAAUAAGAUUGUCCUAUCUCUUGACUUAUAAGUUCUUGUGAUCCUAGAAAACAAUUUGUUAGUGCACGUGUGAAAAAUGAAAAUAUAUAACGCAUGCAUGGAUUAUACGGAUAAAGUUUACACUAUAAGACGUAAGACUUAUAGUGUACCUUAUAUUACCAAAAGUUUUAUAAAAAAUUGGUACUGGAUUAAAACCUAACUUGUUCGUUUAUCCUGUGAAGAAGAAAUAGAUAUUCUACAUUAGUCGGAAGGGUUUCAAAUCUGAAAAUCAAAAACGUAACUAGGCCCAAGAUAAUAAAUGGGCCUUCAUAUUAAGGACUGAACAUUUGUGUCAAGUGUAAAGUAUCCUUACGUUUAUCAUCAUUUUAGCUAGAUAAUAACGAACUAAUGAAGUCAUGACAGUAACCCAAAUCUAAUGAUUCAAACUAUUUGUAAUAAACAAUCUAUCGCCAUACAAUCAACAAGAGCUCGAAAAACAACAAAUUAGAAAAUGCCACAUGUAUUUUACGAUAUAAAAAAAUCGAAAACAGAGUAAUCAGGUGAAAGAAAGAAGCAGCUGCUUCAGCGUCGAAAGCGACUCUUUCUCUCCAUAGUGAGAGCAUAUAUGCAGAGCCGUUGCUUCUUCUUAUUACUCACGCGCGGUUUCUGAAACUUGGAUCAUCGUCAUCGAUUUAUUCAUCCAAAGUAACCUUAUUCGAAUCUCUUUUGUUUCUCUAAGCUCUCUCUGUCGAUCUUCACUUAAUUUCUCUUGUUUUCUCGUAUAAAAUUUUAAAUUUUAUAAGAUCAGUCAAGAACCAAUCUGGUCUAAUCAUGCAUCGUGAUUCAAUUGGCAAAACACACUACUCUAUGUUCCUCUAUAUCUGUGAUUCUGACUUUCUUUUGAUGAAUGAACUUCACAGUUUAAGACAAAACAUGAAACUGGAUUCAGACAAGAAGUUGUUAUGGAUCACGAUAUUUUUUGUCAAACCUAUAGAGCUUUUACUCUGAUUUCUAAUUCUCGCUGAUAAAUCAUCUAUAGAGCUUUUACUCUAAUUUCUAAUCAAGUUUAGUUUUUUUGGAGUUAACCAAUCUGGGGGAUAAAAUUUACAAUUUAUGAAAUGGCGAGAUCUUUGGAAAUAAUGAAUUCUGAUAGAUUUGAGUUUGUGUACGAUGAAGGUAAUUAAUGUUUAACUAAUGUUCUUUAAUAAUUUAAAUGGCUUUCAUCAAAUUCUUGACUAAUAAAUGAAUACAUCUAGCUGAUUCUUUAACAAAACAAAAAUGUCAAACUGAUGAUGGCUACAGACACUAUCAAACAAUGAGCCUGAGUUAUAAGAAUCAAAUUAUGAAGGAGAUUUUGACCAUUGGAGAAUUCGAUCCACAUAAUUUUUUGAUUAAUUGUUUGGUUGAUUGCAUAUGAGAUAUUAUCUCAGAUUUAAUAUAGAUAUAUUCUCUAAACUGCUAAUUCUUGUGUAUGUUGCAUCAAAUCCAUUAAUUAGCCGAUCACAAGUUUAUAACUUAUCAAUCUACAAUAAUGAGACCAAUCCACACUACAUCUAGAUUGCUCAACAAUAAUCUAGACCUAGAGGUGGUAGAGUCUACAUGUAAUUCUUGCAAACAGAUAACUACUUGAUUCUUACCAAUAAUCUUGUUCAGUUAUUGGACAAAAGAAAUUGUUAAAUUAAAAGCAUUUUGACUAAAAAAGAGAGCAUAUGCUUACACUGAUUUAGGUGUGUAAUGUAUAUAUUUCAGUCAUCUUUUAACAUAAGUUGUUUUCUUUAUAUUUAAGCAUUAUGGAGCAGAAUAAUUUUGUGGAAUCAAUCAUGACUCAUCUAUACUACAACAUACAUGUAAUCGAUUUACAAACAUAAUAUUUUUUCAACUUCUUUUCUAAACAAAAUUUUGUCAAGAUUGUUUAUCUGUUUUAUGUUAAAGACACGAAACUAUACGAAAUAUGCUUCAUUUAGACAUAAAUGUUUCUAUUUACUCCUUAAGGUUUGCAUAUCUCCUAAAAGAAUCCCCUUACUAUUUAAAUUCCAGAUUAGGUCACAAAGAUUCUUAUUUGAUUUGACCAAAGACAAAAGAGAUGGUCUAAUUAAAAAAAUUGUGGCUCAUAUUAGUUGCAGAAUAUUAAACACAUUUACGAAAUGUACUUAGUUUUCGUAUAAACUGUUUCCAUCUAAAAGUUAGUUUAGAAUUAAAUAUCUUACGGUUGAAACUUGAAACUCCAUGCAAGAAGGACCACUAAUUUUUAGAAAUGAAGAUAGGGUUUAAACAGCAACAAGAAAUGUUGAUAGGUGUUCUUUGUGAGAAAAUUACAACUCAGUGGCGUAUUUGCGAAUUAUCUACUUUAUUAAAAUAGAAGUAAUAACCUAAGACUUACAACUUAAUUACAAUACAAUGCCAUUGAAGUAAUCAAUAAACUUAAAUCUAAAUUAUUUUUUUUCCUAAAUUUAUUCCACAACAAAUUCAU